CCUCGGAUCAGGUAGGAAUACCCGCUGAACUUAAGCAUAUCA
rnacentral:rRNA from 4 species